AUGAACGCUGGCGGCGUGCCUAAUACAUGCCAGUCGAGCGAACAGACGAGGAGCUUGCUCCUCUGACGUUAGCGGCGGACGGGUGAGUAACACGUGGAUAACCUACCUAUAAGACUGGGAUAACUUCGGGAAACCGGAGCUAAUACCGGAUAAUAUAUUGAACCGCAUGGUUCAAUAGUGAAAGACGGCUUUGCUGUCACUUAUAGAUGGAUCCGCGCCGCAUUAGCUAGUUGGUAAGGUAACGGCUUACCAAGGCAACGAUGCGUAGCCGACCUGAGAGGGUGAUCGGCCACACUGGAACUGAGACACGGUCCAGACUCCUACGGGAGGCAGCAGUAGGGAAUCUUCCGCAAUGGGCGAAAGCCUGACGGAGCAACGCCGCGUGAGUGAUGAAGGUCUUCGGAUCGUAAAACUCUGUUAUUAGGGAAGAACAAAUGUGUAAGUAACUAUGCACGUCUUGACGGUACCUAAUCAGAAAGCCACGGCUAACUACGUG
rnacentral:rRNA from 1 species